UACGGGGGGAGCAAGCGUUGUUCGGAUUUACUGGGCGUAAAGGGCGCGUAGGCGGUCAGCACAAGUCAGUUGUGAAAUCUCCGGGCUUAACUCGGAAAGGUCAACUGACACUGUGCGACUAGAGUGCGGAAGGGGCAACUGGAAUUCUCGGUGUAGCGGUGAAAUGCGUAGAUAUCGAGAGGAACACCUGCGGCGAAGGCGGGUUGCUGGGCCGACACUGACGCUGAUGCGCGAAAGCCAGGGGAGCGAACGGG
rnacentral:rRNA from 1 species